UGGUGGUUGUUUAGCCCCUUCUGCCAACAAUGUGAACAUCAAAUGAAUCACCCGUGACCUUGGAAAAUCAGGUCACAAUGUACAGUCCUAUAACUCUUUUCCAGGCUAAUUUUCUCUCCUGGCACUAAUCCACUGUAGGCAUGAAUUCAAAUGUCUUCUUUCAUUCCCACUUAAAUCCAGGCGAUGGUUUUUAACAACUCUUCUCUAAACACUUGGAGAAGGAAUCUCACAGAGGACUGCUUAUCCUGCUACUAGCCUUGGCUACUCUUUUGAGGCUCCUAAUCUGAGUAUCUCAGCCCAACUCCUUCCACAGGGAAGUCCAGCCCACCCAGACAUCCACCCAGCCUGAAGUCCAGCCCUACAAUUGCCUCAGCCCGAGAGUAGAUGAUGCCUCCUCUUCUACAGCCUAUGGUUCAAAGUUUGUUUAUUGACAAAGAGGACAUCAGGGAAGAAAAGAAACAUCAUUCCCACUCCAAGGAGGCUUAGGAAAAUAUUGGAGGAGUCCCAGGCUUCUCUUGAUCUGUGAAGGACCCCAGAUUCAGCUUGGUGGAGAUAGUUCCAGUUUUCUCCAAGAGAACUAAUUUCUAAAAUAGAUAAUAAAAUUAAAAUGUUCAUUAUGAUAACUUCCUCCAAAAAAAGUCAUAGAAACUUCAUUUUAAGAAACUGACUUUCCUGUACCACAUGUUGGCUCAGGUCUUCUUUUCUAUGCUCUCUCUCCUUGAAUGAUUUCAUCUGUUCUUAUAGCUUUAAAGAUCAGUCCAGUCCUAAUUUGCAAGCUCCACAUACCCAUGUUUUCAACUGCCUGUUUGACUUCUCCAACUGGAGGUCAAAAAGGCAAUAUGUCCAUAAGAAAUCUCUUGAUCUUCUACCAAAGUCUUUUCAUUUUCCAGUCUUUCCAUCACACUAAAUGUCUGUUAACCACCUAGGAUUGGAAACUACUACAUAUUGGAAACUACUUUUCCUCUCACCUCUAACCCCUUCCAACCCAUCAUCAUUACCACAUCCUGGUGAUUCUACUGUCCAAAUAAAAAUUCAAGUCAGGACUUCUCUCCACCUCCACAGUCACCACCCUUAAGCUGGACUGAAUGUUUAUGUCCCAUCAAAAUUCAUGGGUUGAAAUCCUAACCCUCAAUGUAAUGGUUUUAGAAGGUGGGACCUCUGAGAGGAGAUUGGGUCACGAGGAUAGAGCCUUCAUGAAUGGGAUUAGUGCCCUUAUAGAAGAGACCCCAGAAAAUUCUCUUGCCCCUUCUGCAAUGGAGGACCCAGCAUAGAAGAAUAGAAGAUGACCUUCUAUGAACUAGGCCUUCACCAGACACCAAAUCUGCCAGUGCCUUAAUCUUGGACUUCCCAGAAUCUGGAACUGUAAUAAAUAAGCGUUUGUUGUUUCCUUUA